UGAGCAACCUGCCCUUGACUCCGGAAUAACAGCUGGAAACAGCUGCUAAUACCGGAUACGACCUCCGAUGGCAUCAUCGGAGGUGGAAAGCUCCGGCGGUCAAGGAUGGGCUCGCGGCCUAUCAGCUUGUUGGUGAGGUAACGGCUCACCAAGGCUUCGACGCGUAGCCGGCCUGAGAGGGCGACCGGCCACACUGGGGCUGAGACACGGCCCAGACCUCCGUAGGGA
rnacentral:rRNA from 1 species